rnacentral:rRNA from 1 species
AUUGAACGCUGGCGGAUGCUUUACACAUGCAAGUCGAACGGCAGCACGGGGGCAACCCUGGUGGCGAGUGGCGAACGGGUGAGUAAUACAUCGGAACGUGUCCCAGGUCGUGGGGGAUAACGUAGCGAAAGCUACGCUAAUACCGCAUACGAACUGAGGUUGAAAGUCGGGGGAUCGGCAAGACCUCGCGCGAUCGGAGCGGCCGAU